rnacentral:rRNA from 1 species
CAGCCGCCGCGGGAAUACGAACCGUGCGAACGUUAUUCGGAAUCACUGGGCUUAAAGCGCGUGUAGGUGGGUGGGUACGUCCGUCGUUGAGAGCCCCCGGCUCAACCGGGGAACUGGCGCGGAUACGGCCUACCUGGAGGGACGUAGGGGGACCUGGAACUUCCGGUGGAGCGGUGAAAUGCGUUGAGAUCGGAAGGAACGCCCGCGGCGAAAGCGAGGUCCUGGACGUUUUCUGACACUGAGACGCGAAAGCCAGGGGAGCGAACGGGAUUAGAUACCCCUGUAGUCCCUGUCUCUUAUU